AGCAGAAUAGCUCUGUUGGUUAGAGUGUCAGAUAGUAACUCUGAGGUCGCUGGUUCGACUCUGGCUUCAGCCA